rnacentral:rRNA from 1 species
CCUACGGGUGGCUGCAGUGAGGAAUAUUGGUCAAUGGGCGCAAGCCUGAACCAGCCAUGCCGCGUGCAGGAUGACGGUCCUAUGGAUUGUAAACUGCUUUUGUACGGGAAGAAACACUCCUUCGUGAAGGAGCUUGACGGUACCGUAAGAAUAAGGAUCGGCUAACUCCGUGCCAGCAGCCGCGGUAAUACGGAGGAUCCAAGCGUUAUCCGGAAUCAUUGGGUUUAAGGGGUCCGUAGGCGUUCGUGGUGAAAGCCCAUCGCUCAACGGUGGAACGGCCAUUGAUACUGCAGGACUUGAAUUAUUGGGAAGUAACUAGAAUAUGUAGUGUAGCGGUGAAAUGCUUAGAGAUUACAUGGAAUACCAAUUGCGAAGGCAGGUUACUACCAAUUUAUUGACGCUGAUGGACGAAAGCGUGGGUAGCGAACAGGAUUAGAUACCCUAGUAGUC